rnacentral:lncRNA from 1 species
CCGUCUUUCCAGAGAGUGAGCCACCAACUGGCACCAGAUUGCCAGAGUUUCCGUCAUCCUGUGACAGCUGAACAGAAAAGACAAGGUUGACAACCCCAUCCUUUCCAAAAGACCAGUCCAUCCUGUUGUCACUUGAAGUUAUGUCUCUAAUUCUAAUCAUGGCAGCAGUGACAUGAACCGAACUGGAAGAUGCUGCACCAGAAUUUAACCUACGCAUUGCCUCUUUACCAGGGAACUCCGAAGCAAAUGCAGGUGGAGCAGGUAUG